rnacentral:rRNA from 1 species
GACGAACGCUGGCGGCGUGCUUAACACAUGCAAGUCGAACGGAAAGGCCCUCCUUUUGUUGGGUGCUGGAGUGGCUAACGGGUGAGUAACACGUGAGUAACCUGCCCUAUAUUUUGGGAUAACUUCAGGAAACUGGGGCUACUACCGCAUAGGACCGCCUGCUGCAUGGUGGGGGUUGGAAGGUUUCGGCGGUUGGGGAUGGACUCGCGGCUUAUCAGCUUGUUUGUGGGGUAGUGGCUUACCAAGGCUGUGACGGGUAGCCGGCCUGCGAGGGUGACCGGCGACACUGCGACUGAGACACGGCGCAGAAGCAGACGGGAGGCAUCAGUGGGGAAUAUUGCACAGUGGGCGGGAGGCUGAUGCAGCGACGCCGGGUGCGGGAUGACGGCCUUCGGGUUGUAAACCGCUUUCGCCUGUGACGAAGCGGGAGUGACGGUAAUGGGAGAAGAAGCACCGGCUAACUACGUG